GGUCACUGUAAAAAUACAAUACAAUAUGGUUAGCAAUAAUCUCAUAUUUAUAAUUGUGAUCAAACAGACUUUAGGUGUAACUCAUGGAUGUCCGUUUUUAAUCUGUAAUACACCAAUCACUGGUGAUGUUGCACAACAAGCUCUAACUUGAUUGGAGGAGGAAUCUGAGCUUGGUGUCAUUUUAAUUGCAUUGCUUAAAACAUCUGAUGUUAAUUGACUACAAUGCUCUCUGCAAAACCAUAUGCAGCACCAGAAGAUAAUGAUGUUUGGUUCACUGCCUGCUUUCCCGCUUUACCUAUGGUCAUUACACACGAGUCCGUUGGUUUGGUGGGAGAGAACAGAGUGCUUCAGUAGUUGUGCACCUGAGGCUGUCAGGAUUUCCUCAGCCAUCUUCCUACGUAGUGCCUCCAUAUUGGUCACAGAAGUAUUGAUGUCCAACUGGGAUGGGACUUUUGGGAAACUAGAGACAACCUCCUUUGCCAUUUUUGAACAAUAGUUGUAGUGAAAUGAAGGAAAUAAUUAUAUUUAGUGUAUCAACUUUAAUGCUUACCAUUUGAGCAGAAAAUACCUGCAUGACAAGUACUCCACAGCUAUGUGAAUCCUGCUGCCUUGUGUGCGUAAUUGUGGCCCCUCUCCACUUAAUGUCCAUCCACUCUUUUUUGCUAUGGCGAACGAACCUCAUUUUGAAGUAUUGACUUGUAUGACAAAUAAAUAUAUGACAGUUAGGGGUAAUACAGUUAAAGUAAUUAAGAGUAACUAGAACUGGCCAUAAUGCUUUUAUUUUAGCAGUUUUGUUUUUACCGAAAUCUGACUGCAGCUUGCUUAGAGUCCUCCUUCUCAUCAAUUCCUUGUGGAUCUAUAAGGAAAACUUUACUGGAAGAUGCAUGUAGAUACUAGAAAAAAAAAAAAAAAACGAUUUAAAACUACAGUUCAGCUUUGAUCACAUAACUAUGAAGAAGGACUAUU